GUAAUCCCCGCAGGCCUUGCGCCGGUCGCCCUGAGCGCCGCACCUGGCCACGCCCUAGGCAGGGCCACCCAAGGCGUUUGCCCCGCCCCUCGCGAAGCCCCGCCCAGCAUAGAAUCCGCGCGAGGAGUCGGGACCCUACCGCCCUAAGCAACCUUUCCCACGUGGGAAUGGUAAUCCCUGAGGGUCUGUUGCCGGGUGCGCCUCCCCUACGACUCACCCAACACUUUGAGAACACCGGCUCCUUCCUGCCUUGCUUCAACAAGCCCAGAUCCAUCAGAGCCUCUCAAUGCGCACCAAGCACCUUCGUAGACACAGCCGUGAACAAAACAACAAAUCAAUCAAUCUCACAACAAA